rnacentral:rRNA from 1 species
AUUGAACGCUGGCGGAAUGCUUUACACAUGCAAGUCGAACGGCAGCAUAGGUGCUUGCACCUGAUGGCGAGUGGCGAACGGGUGAGUAAUACAUCGGAACGUGCCCAGUCGUGGGGGAUAACGUAGCGAAAGUUACGCUAAUACCGCAUACGAUCUAAGGAUGAAAGCGGGGGACCGUAAGGCCUCGCGCGAUUGGAGCGGCCGAUGUCAGAUUAGGUAGUUGGUGAGGUAAAGGCUCACCAAGCCGACGAUCUGUAGCUGGUCUGAGAGGACGACCAGCCACACUGGGACUGAGACACGGCCCAUACUCCUACGGGAGGCAGCAGUGGGGAAUUUUGGACAAUGGACGCAAGUCUGAUCCAGCCAUUCCGCGUGCAGGACGAAGGCCUUCGGGUUGUAAACUGCUUUUGUACGGAACGAAAAAGCUCUUACUAAUACUAGGAGUCCAUGACGGUACCGUAAGAAUAAGCACCGGCUAACUACGUGCCAGCCGCCGCGGUAAUAC